rnacentral:tRNA from 1 species
GAGCCAUUAGCUCAGUCGGUAGAGCACCGGACUUUUAAUCCGGGUGUCCCGCGUUCGAAUCGCGGAUGGCUCACCA